ACAUGCAAGUCGAGCGGACAGAAGGGAGCUUGCUCCCGGAUGUUAGCGGCGGACGGGUGAGUAACACGUGGGUAACCUGCCUGUAAGACUGGGAUAACUCCGGGAAACCGGAGCUAAUACCGGAUAGUUCCUUGAACCGCAUGGUUCAAGGAUGAAAGACGGUUUCGGCUGUCACUUACAGAUGGACCCGCGGCGCAUUAGCUAGUUGGUGAGGUAACGGCUCACCAAGGCGACGAUGCGUAGCCGACCUGAGAGGGUGAUCGGCCACACUGGGACUGAGACACGGCCCAGACUCCUACGGGAGGCAGCAGUAGGGAAUCUUCCGCAAUGGACGAAAGUCUGACGGAGCAACGCCGCGUGAGUGAUGAAGGUUUUCGGAUCGUAAAGCUCUGUUGUUAGGGAAGAACAAGUGCAAGAGUAACUGCUUGCACCUUGACGGUACCUAACCAGAAAGCCACGGCUAACUACGUGCCAGCAGCCGCGGUAAUACGUAGGUGGCAAGCGUUGUCCGGAAUUAUUGGGCGUAAAGGGCUCGCAGGCGGUUUCUUAAGUCUGAUGUGAAAGCCCCCGGCUCAACCGGGGAGGGUCAUUGGAAACUGGGAAACUUGAGUGCAGAAGAGGAGAGUGGNAAUUCCACGUGUAGCGGUGAAAUGCGUAGAGAUGUGGAGGAACACCAGUGGCGAAGGCGACUCUCUGGUCUGUAACUGACGCUGAGGAGCGAAAGCGUGGGGAGCGAACAGGAUUAGAUACCCUGGUAGUCCACGCCGUAAACGAUGAGUGCUAAGUGUUAGGGGGUUUCCGCCCCUUAGUGCUGCAGCUAACGCAUUAAGCACUCCGCCUGGGGAGUACGGUCGCAAGACUGAAACUCAAAGGAAUUGACGGGGGCCCGCACAAGCGGUGGAGCAUGUGGUUUAAUUCGAAGCAACGCGAAGAACCUUACCAGGUCUUGACAUCCUCUGACAACCCUAGAGAUAGGGCUUUCCCUUCGGGGACAGAGUGACAGGUGGUGCAUGGUUGUCGUCAGCUCGUGUCGUGAGAUGUUGGGUUAAGUCCCGCAACGAGCGCAACCCUUGAUCUUAGUUGCCAGCAUUCAGUUGGGCACUCUAAGGUGACUGCCGGUGACAAACCGGAGGAAGGUGGGGAUGACGUCAAAUCAUCAUGCCCCUUAUGACCUGGGCUACACACGUGCUACAAUGGACAGAACAAAGGGCUGCGAGACCGCAAGGUUUAGCCAAUCCCACAAAUCUGUUCUCAGUUCGGAUCGCAGUCUGCAACUCGACCUGCGUGAAGCUGGAAUCGCCUAGUAA
rnacentral:rRNA from 1 species